UCACACUAUAAUACCAGAGGGAUAUUUUGAUCCUGAUGAAAGUCCUCAAUGCAGGACUGAAACGUCAACCGUUUUUUUAACUAUAUACCAAUAAACUUUGGACUUUUAAUACCGAGAGUGCUGCUACCUACCUACUACAAAUGGAUACUAAUAACCAUGGUUUGCUAGCACCUGGGCAAUAAGGGACUUCAAGUGUGAGUGCAAGAGAUUUUUAUUCA